AGAUUGAACGCUGGCGGCAUGCCUUACACAUGCAAGUCGAACGGCAGCACGGGGGCAACCCUGGUGGCGAGUGGCGAACGGGUGAGUAAUACAUCGGAACGUGUCCUUUCGUGGGGGAUAACCAGUCGAAAGACUGGCUAAUACCGCAUGAGAUCUCACGAUGAAAGCGAGGGACCGCAAGGCCUCGCGCGAUUGGAGCGGCCGAUGUCGGAUUAGCUAGUUGGCGGGGUAAAAGCCCACCAAGGCGACGAUCCGUAGCUGGUUUGAGAGAACGACCAGCCACACUGGGACUGAGACACGGCCCAGACUCCUACGGGAGGCAGCAGUGGGGAAUUUGGACAAUGGGCGCAAGCCUGAUCCAGCCAUGCCGCGUGUGUGAAGAAGGCCGUUCGGGUUGUAAAGCACGUUUCGGACCGGAACGAAAGUCGUCCUUUGUUAAUAGCGAGGUGGAUGACGGUACCGGAAGAAGAAG
rnacentral:rRNA from 1 species